rnacentral:rRNA from 1 species
GAUGAACGCUAGCGAUAGGCCUAACACAUGCAAGUCGAGGGGCAUCACAUGAAGUAGCAAUACGGAUGGUGGCGACCGGCGCACGGGUGAGUAACACGUAUGCAACCUGCCUUCAACAAGGGGAUAACCCGUUGAAAGACGGACUAAUACCCUAUAACACAGGGGUCCCGCAUGGGAAUAGUUUGUUAAAGGACAACCGGUUGAAGAUGGGCAUGCGUUCCAUUAGCUAGUUGGCGGGGUAACGGCCCACCAAGGCAACGAUGGAUAGGGGGAACUGAGAGGUUUAUCCCCCACACUGGUACUGAGGACACGGACCAGACUCCUACGGGAGGCAGCAGUGAGGAAUAUUGGUCAAUGGACGCAAGUCUGAACCAGCCACGUCGCGUGAAGGAAGACGGCCCUACGGGUUGUAAACUUCUUUUAUACGGGAAUAAAGUGCCCCACGCGUGGGGUUUUGCAUGUACCGUAUGAAUAAGGAUCGGCUAACUCCGUGCCAGCAGCCGCGGUAAUUACG